rnacentral:rRNA from 1 species
UGCAGUCGAGCGGUAGCACAGAGAGCUUGCUCUCGGGUGACGAGCGGCGGACGGGUGAGUAAUGUCUGGGAAACUGCCUGAUGGAGGGGGAUAACUACUGGAAACGGUAGCUAAUACCGCAUAACGUCUUCGGACCAAAGUGGGGGACCUUCGGGCCUCAUGCCAUCAGAUGUGCCCAGAUGGGAUUAGCUAGCAGGUGAGGUAAUGGCUCACCUGGGCGACGAUCCCUAGCUGGUCUGAGAGGAUGACCAGCCACACUGGAACUGAGACACGGUCCAGACUCCUACGGGAGGCAGCAGUGGGGAAUAUUGCACAAUGGGCGCAAGCCUGAUGCAGCCAUGCCGCGUGUAUGAAGAAGGCCUUCGGGUUGUAAAGUACUUUCAGCGGGGAGGAAGGCGAUAAGGUUAAUAACCUUGUUGAUUGACGUUACCCGCAGAAGAAGCACCGGCUAACUCCGUGCCAGCAGCCGCGGUAAUACGGAGGGUGCAAGCGUUAAUCGGAAUUACUGGGCGUAAAGCGCACGCAGGCGGUCUGUC